rnacentral:rRNA from 1 species
UACGGUUUAAAGAAGCCUUUAAAGCUUCGCUUGGAGAUGGGCCUGCGGUGCAUUAGCUAGUUGGUGGGGCAAUGGCCUACCAAGGCGACGAUGCAUAGCCGAACUGAGAGGUUAAUCGGCCACAUUGGGACUGAGACACGGCCCAAACUCCUACGGGAGACAGCAGUUAGGAAUAUUCGUCAAUGGGGGGAACCCUGAACGAGCAAUGCCGCGUGAGUGAUGACGGUCCUCUGGAUUGUAAAACUCUGUUGUUUGGAAAGAAUUGUAAGAAGAGGAAAUGCUUCUUAUUUGACGGUACCAUUCAAGAAAGCCACGGCUAACUACGUGCCAGCAGCCGCGGUAAUACGUAGGUGGCGAGCGUUAUCCGGAUUUAUUGGGCGUAAAGCGUGUGUAGGCGGUUUGUUAAGUCUGAGAUGAAAGGCUAUGGCUCAACCAUAGUUUGUUUCAGAAACUGGCAGACUAGAGUGCAGUAGAGGCAAAUGGAAUUCAUAGUGUAGCGGUGGAAUGCGUAGAUAUUAUGAGGAACAUCAGUGGCGAAGGCGAUUUGCUGGGCUGUUACUGACGCUGAGACACGAAAGCGUGGGGAGCAAAUAGGAUUAGAUACCCUAGUAGUCCACGCUGUAAACGAUGAGCACUAAGUG